ACUCUCCACCGACUGCGUCAGGAUGAGCUCCAGGUUUUCUUUGGGCCGAUGCUUCGUGUCCUCCACCAGCUUAUAGACGCGAUGUCGCCGGUGCAGGCGCGGCUUCCGGCCCUCCCCGGCCAGCGGUACCUUCCACCAGCGCUCCACGAUGACCGUGCCCUGGCGGCCAGGAAAGCGACGGUAAGCUAGUCUCCACAAGGAACACCCUCUCCCUCCACCACGGCCGCCAGCCCCUCAAGGAAAGCCCGCCACCCCCACAUCGGCCCCCUCCAGGUCCCAGUGCGCCUCCAGAAACAAUACUCGAGCGUAUCUACCCCCUACCCCAGACUCAGCCCUCACCCGAUUUUGAGAAAGGCUGAAGUUGCAGGCCAGGUCAGGGGCGUUCCCUUCAUGUCGCGGCCGCAGUAGCUCCUGGACGCCUCCCCGAAGCAGCCGUCCAGCGCCCGCCCGCAGCAGAGCUCUGCCCGGGGCCGUGACAACGGGCGCCGCCAUGUUCACAGGCACAGAAUGAGACCUGAGGGAGGACCCCGGCGUCGGCGGCAGGAAAGGCCCCCGCCAGUGCUGCCUGCGGCGCGCCGGUACGGCUGAGCGAAAGUAUGGGGAGCGGGCCGGGGAACAGAUGGCACCGCGGCUUGCCUAUUUUUGCUUUUUGGCAGAGGUGACGGACGCCUAGAAUUACUGACUGAUAAUGGAAUGAGUGUUAGGUGGACUGACGCCGGAAAAGACGCUCUUCCUCUUGAAAGUGUGGGCUUUGCUGUAGCUCCAGUUGCUGGGCUAACUUUUAAUUCUAACGUUCUGUGAUGACUGGAUACUGACCGGAGAAUGAAUGAUGCUCUCACUUUUCCUUACUUCAAAUCUACCUAAAAGUGGUAAAGGAUGGGAUCCCUUGGAAAACUCUGCCAGCUCCAGGAGGAGCCUGACCCUUAAUCAUUAUACUGCAGUAUUUAAGCUAAUAAAGGAGAAUUCUAAAUCACAAGCUAUGUAAACCGUAGAAAAAAAAGCAACUAUGGUAAGGCCGCGACAGUUCCCUCUGGGGAGGGUCUCAGUACUGGACAGAAGACCAUAAAAACUGGAUGAAAGAAGGUCCAUUUGGCAGAGAUUAUGGAAAGACUGGCCCUUAAACAUACUGACCAGUCCUCCUUCCUCCUAAAUACACUACUUGGCCUCCUGGACACCGGUCUUCUUCAGUCUCGUUUGCUGAUUUCUCCUUUUCUCCCCGCUUCUUAGAAUGCCCUCGGGACUCCGUUUUUGAACCUUUACUCUUCUCAGUAUACACUCACUGUUGAUCUCAUCCAGUCUCGUGGCUUACAAUACCAUUUAUAAGCCAAUGACUCCCAAAUUUCUAGUUCCAUCCUAGACAUCUCCCAAACUCGUCUCAAAUAUUCAACUGUUUAUUCGUCAUUUUCCUCUUACGUAUCCAAAGGACACCUCAAAGUUAACUGUCCCAAACUAAUUUAUUUAUUCCCCCCUCGCCCCCAAAACUGCCCCAUCUGCAGCCUUUUUCCUCUCAGUUGACAGAAACUCCAUUCUUUCCAUUCUAACUCUUUUCUCUCAUACUCCAUCAGGAAAUCCUGUGGGUUCUACCUUUAAAUUACAGAUAGUCCCUGACUUGGAUUUACAAUUUUUGAGUUUGUGAUGGUGUGAAAGUGAUGUGCACUCAGUAGGACAUCAAUAAGUUACAUGAAAUAUUCAACACUUUAUUAUAAAAUAGGCUUUGUGUUAGAUGAUUUUACCCAACUGUCGGAUAAGUUGUCUGAGCAUGUUUAAGAUAGGCUAGGCUAAGCUAUGGUGUUUGGUAGGUGUAUUAUAUGCAUUUUCAACUUAUGAUACUUUCAACAUACGAUGGGUUUAUCAGGACAUAACCCUAUUUUAAGUCAAGGAGCACUUGUAUUUCCAGAAUCCAGCCACUUGUCACCACCUCCAAUGCUCUACCUUGGAAUAAGACACUACUUUCUCCUGGAUUACUGCAAUAGUCCCCUAAAAGAUAUCCCUUAAUUCUCUACAGUUUAUAAUUCUAUGUAGCUUAUUUAUAGCAGCCAGAAUGAUCUUUUUAAAGCAUAAGUCAGAUCAUGUCAUUCUUCCACCCAAAACUUUGUAAUGACUUCCUCCUUUACUCAAGGUAAAAGAAAAAGGCCAUCAGAUGGUCUACAAGGCCAUACAUACUCUGACCCCAUUAGCUCCUCUCUAAUUUACACUGCUCCACCCACAGUGGCCUCCUUGUUUCUUGAAAACACCAGGCACGUUUCCUGCUCAGGGCUUUUGCACUGGCUGCUUUUGCGUUGGAUGCUCUUAUCCUCAGAUGCUGGCUUGGUUAACAACCUCACAUCCUCCAAGUGUUUAAUUAAAUGUCAGUUUUUUUCAGUGAGAGAUCACCCUAUUUCUUACUGUAACCCUGACCCAUCCCCUUCACAUUCCUUAUCUUCCUUUAUCUUGCUCUAUUCCCCCCACCCCAUAGCAGUUACCUUCUAACAUACUAAACAAUUUACUAUGUUUAUUUUCUAGGUUUGUCCUCUCACUUUUAGAAGAUACGUUCCAUAGGGCAGGGAUUUGUUUUGUUCACUGAUGUAUCAUCUCAAGCACCUAGAAUAGUGCCUGGCUAAUAGUAGACCCUCAAUAAAUAUUUGUUGAAUGGAUAAAUAUGCAGAGGUCUCAAAGUGGCAGUCCCAGAACCAAAUUUUGCUUACAAUGUUGUUUUUUUAUCAACAAUUUUUUAGUAGUUGAUUUUUUUUUUUUUUUGAGUUGGAGUCUCGCUAUGUUGCCCAGUAGUCGAUAUUUUUUAAAAUUGGUGAGAUUUACUACAAAACUGUCUUUCCAGUUUCUGUUCAAAAAUCAUACGAUACAGCACCAUCAAGUCUGCAUUCUUGCAUGGAACUGGAUGGAAUUGAGUUGUGUGGACUUCCUUUAGAUAACGUGUGAGCUUUCCUAUUUUGCUACAGCCCUACCCUGCCACUCCACUAAUUUCCAUAAGCUGUCUAGGCCCCUGAAGGGGCCUAGACAAUUAGUUUGCAAUUCCUACCCUACAAGGAUCCUGGGUUAUUAAGGGUAGGGAUGAUAAUAAAAAUACUCAACUGGUAUGAACUGGGAACCAACUAAUCAGGUCACCACUGGAUCAGAGCCUUGGAAGAGUCAGAUACCAACUCUUUAC
rnacentral:lncRNA from 1 species